rnacentral:lncRNA from 1 species
GGAGGCCCAUGCAGCUCUGGCUGUAGCAUCAACCAGCGAUGGAACAUUAUACAGUCCUGAGGGUCCUGUGAUCUGUAAGAAGGAGAGACUCCGCGCUGUUGAUCUGACACCCUGCACCAGAGUGCCCCACGGCAAUCUGUCCUUCAGGCAGAAGGGAGGUACCAUGGAGACCACUGGAAACUCUGGAUGGCAGGAUUAGGUGUGGAAGAACUUCAAUACAGGAUCUCCAAAGGAAAGAACCACUCAACGCAUACCAGGGUGGACUGCCGCGGCCGGAGCCAGGCUGCAGAGGCCAGAGUUUAUCUCGGCUUCUACAUGGGGGACCUUGGGCCAAGGCUUUUGCCAACAGUCAGGGGUUUGUUUGUUUGGUUGGUUUUGCUUUUUGUCUUUUGUUUUUGUACUGGGGAUUGAACCCAGGAGCACCCGACCACUGAGCCACACCCCCAGCCUUUUUUAUAUUUUUAGAUAGGCUCUCACUGAGUUGCUUAGGACCUUGAUAAGUUGCUGAGGCUGGCUUUGAACUUGCCAUCCUCUUGCCUCAGCCUCCCAAGUCGCUGGGAUUACAGGCAUGCAUCAUUGUGCCCUGAAAGAGUCAGUUUCCUUCUCUAACAAAUGUGAUGCAUUGAAGUACCUACUGCAUAGGAUUGCUGUCAGGAUUGAGUUAACUCAUGCAUGUGCCAGAAACAGAGUAUGUACUCAACAAACUCUAGUUGGUGUUACUAAGGAAGACGUAAACAAUGGAAAGAAAUGGAGUGGUUUGUGCUUUGUUGGGGAGGGGGAUGUGAGAUGAUGAAAACAGGGGUCACUGAGAGCAUUUAAAGCAAAGCAGGAUUGCUGUGAAGUUGUUUAAAGUACUGUGGAGAACUACAGGGUGGGAUGAGAUAGGGGACUCUGGGUGAGAGGAGAGUGACAAGAAAAAGGAAAGAGGAUCAAAAAGAAUAUUCUGAAAAAAGCAAAGAGGAGCUGCCAGGUAUUGGAAGUGGCUCAGAAGUGGGAAUGACAUGAAAAUUCGGGAUUCCCCAUUAGACUGUGGAAAAGCCUUCUUUUGUUGUAACAGUGAAAAGGGGCUCUGAAAUUUUGUGCCUCGCAACAGGGCACUUGGAAAAUCCAGCUAAGUAGAAUUGACAGCGCUGAACAGGCUUCCUCAGAGGGGUCCACUAAUGAACUAAGCUCAAUAGAGACCUCUGUGCAGGUGUCCCCAUGGGCUUGCUUAGUUCCCACCUGAGUUGAAAGUCCCAUCAAGGGACUGAACCUUUCUGCAAAAAUCAGCCUGACGCUGGCAGCCUUCAGCAGCAGAAGGGAGGGAGGGAAGAAUUCGAUGGGAACUAGGACCUUCUGUGGUCUCCAGGUGAAAACCAUGCUCACCCUUUGUGAUGUCCACCUGCGUCAUUCUUAUCUCACCACUUCUCUGUAACAAGAGCCCCGUCCCCUCCUCAGUACCCUCUGCUGGUUUGUGAUGUGCCCACGUGAGAACCAAGGGGCAUCCCAAAUGGAGGGAUGUGAUGCAGUCCCCUAUGUGGGCAGCCUGUGUCCCCAGAGUCAGUUGUCAAGGAGAGGAAGGGACGUGUGGGCCCUCCUGGCCAACUCAGGCUGUCCUCAGUCUUGCACAUGCACAUGCAGUCAUUCCUCAGUGUCCUUGGGGGAUGGACUUGGGGACCCGCUCCUGCACCAAAAUCCCCAGAUGCUCAGGUUUCUUAUAUUAAAAUGGCAUGAUAAUUAUGCAUAACCUAUGAAUAUAGUUAUGUAUAACCUAUGAACAGCCCCCGCAUGCUUUAAAUCAUCUCUUGAUUACUCAUAAUACCUGUUACAGUAGAACUGCUGUGUAAUAGUUGUUUACCAUAUUGUUUGGGGAAUAAUGACAAGAAAAAAAAAUCUGUACAUGUUCAGUAUAGACACAUUUUUCUUUUCCUGAACGUUUCUGAUCUACAGUUGAUUAAAUCCAAAGAUGGGAAACUCAAAUAUGGAAGGCCAACUGCAUAUGGAGCUG